UCCUGCACAUAAGUUCUUCCACCUAGUUUUUAACAAAAAUGGAAUCUCAAUUAGAGUGCAAUAAAACAUUGAUGUAUCAAACACUAAUAUACUAAGUCCAUGGUUUUAAUACAAAGCCAUUACACAAAGUAACAGCUGUUAAAUAAAGGUUUUUGGGAAAUAACAUUACCAAUGCCCCCUAUAACUAAUGGGUCAAUAGAUAAACACAAAGCAGAGAAUCUGCUUUCUUUUGUUGUGCAUAGAGCCAGAGACAACUUCAUCACAUCCAUGUUUUAUACACUACUCUUAAAUUUCCCAUUUCUGCAAAUCCUCAAAUUUUCAUCCUCAAAUCAUCAAAUAAAUUAUGCAAUGUGAAGGUUUUUUUGAAAGAGAGCAAUUGAUCUACACUUCUAUAUCCAUAUUUUGCAAAGGGUGACUUAUUUGUCUAUCUUCGUUUUUUUCCCUUAUUCAAUAAAGAAAAUUAUGUUUUAUGCUAAGUUGUUGAUAAAUUUUCGUAUGAAGUACUAGUUCUCCCAAACUAUAAGCUAGUCUUUCCUUUCCCCUUUUUUUUUAAUCUAUUUUCAAAAUUAUUUUUAAUAAAACACAUAACUGAAGCUACUUCAACUACUGAUCAUGGAUAUGGGCAAUUUGAAUAUGCACACUCAAAUCUAUAUCCACAUAAUGACCUUCCUAUGUUUUCAAAUUUCUCCUUAUUAGAGUGAUCAUUCUCCCAAGUCCCAACACGUUCAUGAUCCUACUACAAUGAGCCACACUUCAUAUGCCAAUUUCAAUGACACAUUUGAUAUGGGUUCUUUCUUUAACUUUAAACCAUCACAGUAUCAAUAUCAUCAACAAGCUAUUGAUCAAAGCUCUCAAAAUCAAGACAAUCAAGAACCUCCUAUAUAGGGGUGAGCAGUUUUCGGUUAUAAUCGAAAAAUUGAACCGAAUUAAUUUUUUUUUUUUUUAUUAAUUGAUUCAUUCGGUUUGGUUCGAUUAAUAAUUUGAGGAUAUUUCGGUUUUCAGUUUGGUUAAUUAAACUAAAUUAAUGGGAAAAACCGAACCGACCAAUUCGUUUAAUACCCACACUAUUUUUGCCAUUUUUAAGUUAGUCACACCAUAAGCCUCAACAUUUCUACCUCAAGCCUCAACUUCACUCUCAAGCAAUCAAGCCUCCUCCCUCGACUCUUCAUUCCCAAGCCCCCUCAUUCUCAUUCUCAUCUCCAUUCUCAAGCCUCACCCACACCCUCGCUUUAUUCCUUCCUCACUGAAGUGGCCUCCAAAUCCCAAUAAUCACUGUCCUCAUGCCUAGGCACUCCUUUCCUGUUUCCUCAAUUUCCCUCGGUCAUUUUAGUUUCCUAUCUCACCCAAAUGCAUGAUGGCUCUGCUUCUCUUUAGAGACCCAAAGAUCCACAUGCACAAAGACAAUUUCUCCUAUAUAAGAACCUCUUGACGCAAACGAAGACUAAUCACUGGGUUUUGUUUGUGGUUUUGAUUGCAUUGCUUCAAUUGGGUAUUUGAGAUUUGAUUGUUGGAAAGAUUGCUGGGUUCUGUUUGUGAGUGGGGGUUUUUUCUAUAUUAUUUUUUAUUCAAGUUUUUUGAUCCAUGGUUUUUUUUUUUUUUUUUU
rnacentral:misc_RNA from 1 species